UUUCUCCUGUUUACGUGGUUGCAGUUUUGCAAAUUGAGAGGCACAGUUGAAAGAGGUGAAAGUGAUUGGUGUGUUGGCAGAGGUGGGUGAACUGGGUUGUUGAAGGAGGUGCAAGUGAUUGUUGAAGACUUUUUUCGGUUUUGAAAAUUCACUCGCACUCCUCUCCCUCAUUCUGUCUUCGAUUGAACACUAAGAGGUAAUGCAAUCUCUUGCCAAAUCUAUAGCUUGGGAUGGAGAGGGGGCAGCAGACCUCAUUGAGGUCACAGAUGCAGGCAAUUAUUACAAAAGCAUGUACUAGCUUAGCAUAAAAGGACAUCAUAGAGAUGAUCUUCUUUCUUGUGGUGAAUGAGGCAUGCUGAGUCCUUGAUGAAGGCAUUGCAGUUAAAGCUGCAGAUCUGGAUAGUUUGUUGUCAUGGACCUGAGCUUUCCACCUUAUGGGUUUGUCUCAUCUAUUAUUUUAAUACACUUCUUCUUCUGAAUGUGGGAUUAAUUGAUAGCUUGAGUGAUUGGGAUACACAAGAACUCCUAUGUAACUAUUUUUUGCAUUUAUUCUGCC